rnacentral:rRNA from 1 species
UACGAAGGGGGCUAGCGUUGCUCGGAAUUACUGGGCGUAAAGCGCACGUAGGCGGCUUCUUAAGUCGGUGGUGAAAUCCUGGAGCUCAACUCCGGAACUGCCUUCGAUACUGGGAAGCUCGAGUCCGGGAGAGGUGAGUGGAACUGCGAGUGUAGAGGUGAAAUUCGUAGAUAUUCGCAAGAACACCAGUGGCGAAGGCGGCUCACUGGCCCGAUACUGACGCUGAGGCACGAAAGCGUGGGGAGCAAACAGG